GUGAGUAUAUAUAGAGGUAUUUUAAGUUUUUGUUUUCAAAAUUUCGGGCGAAUUUAUAGGAGAUCUCAGAGAGCUCCAGGUCUCCAUAGCAGGUUUGGGGUUUCUAGAGCUGCUAAAAUGGCACCCGUGAGUUUCGUUGAUAUCAAUAAAUGGAUUCCCAGAUGCAAAAUUGCGUCUCUCGUGCUUGGUCAUUUCAUUGAGCAUUUUCAAUAAGUUGCUGUGUAGUUUAAUCUCACAAUUCCGCUAGGCUACGUACAGUGACAAUUUAGAAAAGUUGAUAUCCUCAUUUCUCUUUCCUCCAUCCCUUCUCUCUCUAGUUCCUCUGCCCCGCUUCAUGAGUUCCAACCUCUAUUCAGCCAGUCGUUCCCCACUCCUCGACCAUAACAUCUUGACCAUGAUCGAUUGGUCUCUCUUUGCCAUUGAGCUCCAUCGUCAGAUCGAGCAGAAGCUACCCACUCCUCAACGUCGAACCCCAAGUUAAUAUUUGAAAUCUAUUACAUUCUAUAAUAUCUUGUAUAAAGUUUUUAUUGUCAUAUGUUAUUUUAUUGUGUCCUUACAUGUAAUUACACAUUUUUACUUUACUCUUUGUAACUAGUAUAAAUGCCUUGUAUUAUUUUACAAAUUAAUACACACUGAAAGUAUUUCAUUUCCACGUGUUUUUACAUAUGAUAUGGUAUCAGAUUUCUAGAGUCUUCUUCUACACGACUUUCAUGAUUUUCUCUUUUCUCCCAUUGCUCCGAAGCCUUCUUCUCCCACAGAAGAAACAUCAAAUCUAUUCUUCCUUCAUCCAGGAAAUAGUCCUGGUAUUAUUCUCGUUAGUCAAUUUCUUAAUGGUGAUAACUAUCACUCAUGGUGUCGAUUGAUGCACAUGGCGUUGUCCGCAAAGAAUAAGUUAGGGUUUGUCGAACCUUCAAAUCUUCAAAUCCAUUCUCAAACCUUCAAAUCCUGUCGAUCCAACACUUGCUUCUUGGCUGUACUAUAAUAAUAUGGUAAUCUCCUAGAUUCUUAACUCUGUUUCAUCUAAGAUUUCUCUACAUCAAUACGGCACAUGAGAUCUGGAAUGAUCUCAAAGAGUGAUCUCUCAGAAGAAUGGCCCCCUUAUUUUCUAGUUACAAAAGUCAAUUUUGACUCUUUCUCAAGGCCAGUUGACUGUUAGUGCCUAUUUUUCUAAGCUGAAAGGUCUUUGGGACAAAUUAAUCAAUUACAAACCGAUUCCAGUUUGUUCUUGUGGAGCUGUUUAAACUCUUAAUUCCUAUCUUCAACAAGAGCGUAUACUAUAAUUUCUUGUUGGUUUGAAUAAGUCCUUUGCCUCUGUUAGGGCUCAGAUUCUCUUAAUGGAUCUGCUACCUCUUCUUUACAAGGUUUUCAGCCUUGUUUUACAAAAGGAACAACAACGUGAGAUUUCUAUAUCUUCUGCAUAUUCACAUGAUAAUCAUGCUUUUACUGUUAAAUAUGAUACUAAUCAAUCUGUGAAGCCUGUGUUCAAGAAAGAGCAUCCUAUGUGCAAGCAUUGUGGUCUUGUUGGUCAUGUCAUUGAGAAGUGCUUCAAGCUUCACAGUUUUCCUCCUGGAUACAAGUUCAAGCCAUGGCAGCAGUCCAUGGCCAAUCAAGUUGUCUCUGACAACAUUUCUUUGGCUACCUCUCCAAUUUCAUUAACUGAGUCUCAAUAUCAGCAGUUACUGGCUAUGCUUCAGCCGUCUGAUCCUGUUACCUCUAAUGCACAACACACUGCUAAUGCAGUUUCCUCUACAUCCUUUGUUCCAAUUGCUAGUAUAGGCUUCUCUCAUAUUCCAUUUGUUUUUUCUUCCAAUCAUAUUGUACCUACUAAUAAUGCUUCCUUUUCUUAGAUUCUUGAUUCGGGAGCCACAGAUCACAUGGUUCCAUCUAUAUCUUAUUUUUCUUCCUUCAUUCCAGUCAUUAACAUUACUGUCAAGCUUCCAAAUGGCAAAAGUGUAUCUGUUACAUAUAUUGGCACUGUUCACAUUUCUAAGGAUUUGAUACUUAGAGAUGUUCUUUGUAUUCUAGCUUUUUCAUUCAAAUUAAUUUCUGUUAGCAAGUUAACCUAGACUCUGACUUGCUGCAUGACUUUUUUUUUUCUUUUUCUAAUUUUGUUUUUAUACAGCACCUGACUCAAUGGAAGCUGAUUGGAGUGGGUAGACACAAGGGAGGCCUUUACUUUCUGCAACAAUCAGGCUCUUCUCCUAGUGAUUUACUUCACUCAAACUCUUUGCUCAAAAUCCACAAAAUAUGCCUUGUUUGAACUUUGGCAUAAUAGAUUAGGUCAUCCUUUUGAUUCUAGGAUGAAAUUUCUACAUAAAUUUGUGCCUGAUAUGUUGAAUACUAAUUCUCCAUGCCUUGUUUGUCCUCUGGCCAAACAAAAGAAAUUGCCUCUUCCUAAUAAUUCUCAUAUUUCUACAUUUCCAUGUGAUUUGAUUCAUUGUGAUGUAUGGGGGCCUUUUUCUACCCCCAACUGUUGAAGGUCAUACAUUUUUUCUAACAAUUAUUGACAAUUGUACGUGGGCCACAUGAAUUUAUUUUUUAAAAUACAAGUCUAAAGUUUCUUCUCUUAUUCCUCAAAUUUUCAAACUUAUUAAAACACAGUUCCUCACAAAAGUUAAGAAAAUUCGUACUGAUCAUGAUAUUGAAUUUUUCUUAACAUCCUAUCUUAAAUCUAAAAGUGUUAUCCAUCAUUUGAGUUGUGUUGAAACUCCUCAACAGAAUUAUGUUAUUUAGCGUAAAAUCAACAUCUCUUAAAUACUGCUCGGGCCUUAAUGUUUCAGUCCAAUCUACCUCUUCCCUUCUGGGGUGAUGCCAUUCUUACAGCUAAUCAUCUUAUAAACAGAUUGCCUACGCCUUUAUUGGGAAAUAAAUCACCUUGUGAACUACUCUUUCAAUCCCCUCCCACUUAUGAUCAUCUUAAAAUUUUUGGCUGUCUUUAUUUUACAUCCUCUCUACUUAGAUCAAGAUCCAAGUUUGAUCCCAGAGCCCAACAGUGUAUCUUUCUUGGUCAUCCCUUUGGCAUUAAGGGCUAUAAGCUCUCAGAUCUUGCCGCAAACAAUACUUUUGUUUCAAGACAUGUUGUUUUUCAUGAGUAUGUCUUUCCUUAUAAAUCUCAUUUUUCCUUACCUUUUGUUUCACCUCCUGCUUCCACUACAGUGCAUUUUAAUUAUGUUUCAAGUCAAUCAUCAAUACUUGAACAUUAUCGUAUGCCUUCAACUGAGUUUUCAUUCCCUGCUAAGGAUUUUUUUUCACCAAAUACAGCUUCUCCCAAUAUAUCUCAAGUUCAUACAACUCAUGAACCACAACCCUCGUCAUCUACACAUAUUCAUACAGAUUUUGAACCACUCACAGAAUCUCAAACAGAACCUCAAAUAGUCUCCAUUCCAAUCCGUAAAUCAUCUAGACAUAGAGGAGUUCCUAGUUAUUUGCAACAUUAUUAUUGCAACUCUCUUACUACACACUCUGCAUCAAAUUCCACAGGUUCUGUUCCUAUACCAGCAGGUACUCCAUAUGAUCUUAAUCAUUCUUUCUUAUCAUAGGCUAUCUCCUAAAUAUAAAUCAUUUGCUUUAGUUGUUACUGUUGAUAUAGAGCCUGAGUUUUAUUAUCAGGCUGCCAAGCACUCUCAUUGGAGAGAUGAUAUGGCAACCGAAAUUCUAGCCUUAAAAAAUAAUAAUACCUGGACUGUUACCUCUUUACCUAGUGGAAAAAAACCCAUUGGAUGUAAAUAGGUUUAUAAAAUCACAUAUAGAGCUUAUGGUUCUAUUGAGUGUUACAAAACUCGAUUGGUUGCUAAGGGGUAUACUCAACGUGAAGGGUUGGAUUAUUCUGAAACUUUUUUACUUGUGGCAAAAAUGGUUACUGUUCAUACCUUUCUUGCCAUAACUGCUGUUCAGAAUUGGUCUUUGGUUCAACUUGAUGUCAAUAAUGAUUUCUUACAUGGUGAUUUACUUGAGAAAGUUUAUAUGACACUUCCUCCUGUUUUCAUACUAAGGGAGAGUCUAAAGUGUGCAAAUUAAAAAAGUCCCUUUAUGGAUUGAAGCAAGCAUCUCAUCAAUGGUUUUCCAAAUUUUUCAAUACUCUUCUUGCACUUGGUUUUAAUCAGUCCAAAGCUGAUUAUUCAUUGUUUACUCGUUCCAAUGGUGCUUCUUUUAUUUAAUUCUUGUGUAUGUUGAUGAUAUCUUAAUCUCCAGUAAUGAUUCACAUGCUAUUGAUGAUUUGAAAUUGUUACUGGACACUAAAUUUAAGCUGAAAGAUCUGGGUCAGCUUAAAAUUGGGCUUCAUACCUUGAUACUCGUAGAUCUAUCAUGGGCUAUUGUGUUUUCUUGGAGAUUCCUUGGUGUCUUGGAAGUUUAAGAAACAACAAACAAUUUCUUGUUCAUCUACAGAGGCGGAAUACCAUUUUAUGGCCACUACAACUUGUGAAAUUGUUUGGCUUCUUUUCUUACUCUCAGAUUUUAGAGUUUCUCAUUCUAAUAAUUCUCAUUUGUUUUGUGAUAACACAGCUGCUCAUCAUAUUGCUGCCAAUCCUCUUUUUCACGUGCACACAAAAUAUAUUGAGCUUGAUUGCCAUUUUGUACGGGACAAACUUCAAACUGCGAUUCUUAAGACAUUUCAUGUUCCUUCUCAACAUCAACUUGCUAAUGUCCUUACUAAAGCUUUGGGCAGCCAACAAUUUUCUACAUUGAUAGUCAAGAUGGGAGUUCAUUCCAUUUACUCUCCAUCUUGAGGAGGAGUAUUACAUUUUAUAGUGUCUUGUAUAGAGUUUUUAUUGUAAUAUGUUAUUUUAUUGUGUCCUUAUAUGUAAUUACACAUUUUUUACUUUACUCUUCGUAACUAGUAUAAAUACCUUGUAUUAUUUUACAAAUUAAUACACACUGAAAGUAUUUCCUUUCCACGUGUUUUCACAUUUGAUAAAAUGUUUGUUCAAUUUAUCAUUCUGUACAAUUGAGUUUCAUCUGUUAGUGAUUGACUAUAAUUUCCUUUUGCUAUAUCCUUAUUGGAUGAGAUACCAUAUCUGACGUGUUACCUCUAUCUUGUUUUGACCCAAAUUUUCGCUAUCAGCAUGGAAUUUCACUUAAUUAUAUAUCUGCCAAUUACUUCCCUGACCCGAAGCAAUUCUGAUAAUUGGCAUAGACUCAUGUUCAUCAUCUUGAUAUGCAUGUAUGCAUUCAAAUGGUUCAUUAUCUUGAUAAGGGACACAAUUUCUGUUUUGACUUUUGGAGCCUGUUGGUCCCCAUUUCCAGGUUUUUUUGGUUGCCAAUAGUGGUACUUGUUGGCACUUCAGAAUUUGUCUUGCAUGGGAGCAAGUGAUGUGAUGAGAAAAUAUUCUCAUCGGUUCUAAUUUUCUGCCAUCAUAAUGAUCUAUCCCAACUGAUCUGACUUUUUUAAGACCCGCAUGGAGCAAUGGGAGAGAAUAUGGGAGUCUGCCCAGUUUGCCGCAAGGUUUUUCAUUCUAAGGAUAUGGAGAAUGUGCUUGGUUCUGUUGGCUCUCACUCUUCUCAAUUGACUAAGGCAGCAAAACCAGUGCUGGGAAAGUGUUAUCACAAGCCAAAGAAGUUCUUCCAUGUGGGGAUUAUAUUUCUUUGCUGCUGCUUUUGGAUUUUUCACAUUUGUUGGAGGGUACAAAUCCGUACAAUCGUUUAGUAUUACUGAAACUGCACCUGCUGCAAAGUUUAAUUGACCAAGAGCUGAGACAAAGUUGCAUUGCAAUAUUUCCUAACAAGGCUAUGCUUUUUAUACUUGAGGGCAACCCGUCUUCAUUGCAUCUACCUUUCCAUUACCAUCUUUUCAUUUCCGUUUUUUAAGGCGAGCAUGGAGAUUGUUGAUUGCAAAGAUCCUCUUCAAUUGUAUGACUGAUUUGGAUGAUACAUUUCUAGAAAGAGACAGACAUCUCAGAAUUUCAGACAAAA